CGAGGAAUUUUGCGCAAUGGGCGGAAGCCUGACGCAGCAACGCCGCGUGGGUGAGGAAGGCCUUCGGGUCGUAAAGCCCUUUUCUCGGGGACGACGGCGACGGUACCCGAGGAAUCAGCCACGGCUAACUACGUGCCAGCAGCCGCGGUAAUACGUAGGUGGCGAGCGUUGUCCGGAUUUAUUGGGCGUAAAGCGCGCGCAGGCGGUCGGCUAAGUCUGCUGUGAAAUCUCCCGGCUCAACUGGGAGGGGGCGGCGGAGACUGGCUGACUGGAGGGGCUCAGAGGCCGGUGGAAUUCCCGGUGUAGUGGUGAAAUGCGUAGAGAUCGGGAGGAACACCUGUGGCGAAGGCGGCCGGCUGGGGGUGCCCUGACGCUGAGGCGCGACCGCGUGGGGAGCGAACCGGAUUAGAUACCCGCGUAGUCC
rnacentral:rRNA from 1 species